rnacentral:rRNA from 1 species
UACGAAGGGGGCUAGCGUUGCUCGGAAUUACUGGGCGUAAAGCGCACGUAGGCGGAUCCUUAAGUCGGUGGUGAAAUCCUGAAGCUCAACUUCAGAACUGCCUUCGAUACUGGGGACCUUGAGUUCGGGAGAGGUGAGUGGAACUGCGAGUGUAGAGGUGAAAUUCGUAGAUAUUCGCAAGAACACCAGUGGCGAAGGCGGCUCACUGGCCCGAUACUGACGCUGAGGUGACGAAAGCGUGGGGAGCAAACAGG